rnacentral:rRNA from 1 species
UACGUAGGGGGCGAGCGUUGUCCGGAUUCAUUGGGCGUAAAGCGCUUUAAGGCGGUUCGGUAAGUCGGGUGUGAAACCUCCAGGCUCAACCUGGAGACGCCACUCGAUACUGCUGUGACUAGAGUUCGGUAGGGGAUCACGGAAUUCCUGGUGUAGCGGUGAAAUGCGCAGAUAUCAGGAGGAACACCGGUGGCGAAGGCGGUGAUCUGGGCCGACACUGACGCUGUAGAGCGAAAGCGUGGGGAACGAACAGG